rnacentral:rRNA from 1 species
AUGAGGUUCACUUUCGGGAGUGUUGCGGUCUACUCGUUCAAAAAAAAGUUGAAAAAAAGACAACAAAAACUUGUGCCAGAAAGUUUACGUCUGAUAAAAAGAAAUCAUGAAGUUCACCUUACUGUCUGUUGCAGUGCGGUUUUCAGUUUGAAGCAGUGCGUUCUUCUGUCCAACGACGAUUUUGGUGUCGCGAAAAAACAAUUUUGGUGUCGCGAAAAAACAGAGUGUCCGCUUUUCGCUAAUUUUAAAACUGCACUUAAACCGCAAAGAAUUAGAGAGUGUGUUGUACAUGAAAAAGUUCCAUCUCGUCGAUAUCAUUCCAAGAGCGUAUCGUUUGAAUCAUUCCGAGCAGCGGUUUGUAAAAAUUUCGCCAAAAACGGCGCUGCCACUCGUCGUCCGCUGCACGAUUUUCACAAUUAA